CGCAUCACUGGUGUUCGGGUUGUCAUGCCAAUGGCACUGCCCGGUAGCUAAAUGCGGAAGAGAUAAGUGCUGAAAGCAUCUAAGCACGAAACUUGCCCCGAGAUGAGUUCUCCCUGAGACUUUAAGUCUCCUGAAGGAACGUUGAAGACGACGACGUUGAUAGGCCGGGUGUGUAAGCGCAGCGAUGCGUUGAGCUAACCGGUACUAAUGAACCGUGAGGCUUAACCUUACAACGCCGAAG
rnacentral:rRNA from 1 species